AGGGAAUCUUCCACAAUGGGCGCAAGCCUGAUGGAGCACCACCGCGUGAGUGAAGAAGGGUUUCGGCUCGUAAAGCUCUGUUGUUGGAGAAGAACGUGCGUGAGAGUAACUGUUCACGCAGUGACGGUAUCCAACCAGAAAGUCACGGCUAACUACGUGCCAGCAGCCGCGGUAAUACGUAGGUGGCAAGCGUUAUCCGGAUUUAUUGGGCGUAAAGCGAGCGCAGGCGGUUGCUUAGGUCUGAUGUGAAAGCCUUCGGCUUAACCGAAGAAGUGCAUCGGAAACCGGGCGACUUGAGUGCAGAAGAGGACAGUGGAACUCCAUGUGUAGCGGUGGAAUGCGUAGAUAUAUGGAAGAACACCAGUGGCGAAGGCGGCUGUCUGGUCUGCAACUGACGCUGAGGCUCGAAAGCAUGGGUAGCGAAC
rnacentral:rRNA from 1 species